rnacentral:rRNA from 1 species
UACGUAGGGUGCGAGCGUUGUCCGGAAUUAUUGGGCGUAAAGAGCUCGUAGGCGGUCUGUCGCGUCUGCUGUGAAAAACUCGGGGGCUUAACCCCCGGGCCUGCAGUGGGUACGGGCAGACUAGAGUGCGGUAGGGGAGACUGGAAUUCCCGGUGUAGCGGUGAAAUGCGUAGAGAUCGGGAGGAACACCAGUGGCGAAGGCGGCCUUCUGGACCAGCACUGACACUCAAGCACGAAAGCGUGGGGAGCAAACAGGG